rnacentral:lncRNA from 7 species
ACCACUCUAACUUCACCUUCUCUCUUCUGACAGUGUGCAUCUGUUGUUUUGGUGGUGUUUUUUUUUUUCCAUUGUACUAGUUACCGUGUUAGUAAAGCCCAAGGCAAGCUUCAGUCUAAGUCCUGCCUACUAGAGCCAGAUAAUUACUUCAAGAACUGGACAUCAAAUUCUGUUUUUCUUCCAGAGCCUGAUGUGUUCUCAUGAAAACGAGAAUAUUCAUUUCUCAAGUACCCUGCCUGGGACUUAAAGAAUGCUUUGAAAUCAGUGAUGUUACUUCAACAGAAGUAUUUAUGUGAUCCCCUUAUAAGGAUGAUCCAGAAUCUACACAGGCUAAACUCUGUACGGAGGAGCUUAAACUAAGAAAGCGCUUGCGAAGGCUCAUUCAGCCAUCUCAACGCUGGAUGUCUGCCCUCAGUCAGCCACUAACCGGAGAUCCAGGCUUGUCCAACUGUUGCCAUUUCACAGUGAUUGAUUUGCUUCAUUGUAAAUAGCGAGGAACUGAAACAUCCAGUAUGAAUACCAAAACUCUUCUGUGACCUUGCACAUCUGUUUCUGGGUCUCUCUUUGGAAGCACUGGAAAGGAAAAGCUUGAAAGAAAGCACUCUUUCACAGGUAUGUACCUGUUUGAAUCUCUGAGACACCUUUAAAAAUAGAGUGGGCAUGUCCUAUCGCAUACUGAGAAGUGAGAGAAAUGAGGGUGGGGUAAGUAUUGUCCUCCCUUGGAAGCUGAGAGAUUGAGGAAGCUCCUUCCUCAUGGCUGAACAUGCUGAGCAGCUGUGUAAAUGCUCUCUGCCCAUUUUGCUUAAAAAGAAACAGGUUUGCACUAACUCCCUUGGAUGGUGGGUGGUUUAAACUAACCUCCCAGCUGUGCACUGAAAUGAAUUAAAGGUAUAUGUACAAUGGACCAUGGUGUCUGGGCUGAAAGACCUUCCACCACAUCGCAGGCCCUUGUUCCAUCGUGCCGUGCUGUUUGCACACAGACUGCUGGUGGCUGCGCAACACAGGAGUGUGGGGCUGGGAAAGGAUCGGGAGUGCUGAGUGUGCAGUCUGCACCCAGCAUCACACCACAGCUUCCCCCAGACGGCACACUGCUGCGCGUGGAGCAGAAAUCUGCCUCUGUUUCCUAUUUUAUAGAAACUGAAAUGACCGCAGUGGAUCUGUCCCUAGCUGCUAUCCAGCAGGCCCUGCUUUAAUUUUAGAAUAUGUUUGGGACUUUCCCUUCUGAGGGUCUUCAGACCUGAUUUUCUGGGUGAGUAUUAGUAAUAAUGGUCCAAAAAAAGCCAAAAAGAAAUAUAUGAAACAUUCUAUUAAGUUUGAAAUGAAAUUCUGAAUAAGAUGUGUGUGUUCUUCACAGAAUAUUUACUUUGUAAUACAACCAUUGAUAAUAAAAAAAAAAAACUGCAGUAGUUUUC